rnacentral:rRNA from 1 species
GUGCCAGCAGCCGCGGUAAUACGAAGGGGGCUAGCGUUGUUCGGAAUCACUGGGCGUAAAGCGCACGUAGGCGGACUUUUAAGUCAGGGGUGAAAGCCUGAGGCUCAACCUCAGAACUGCCCUUGAUACUGGGAGUCUUGAGUAUGGUAGAGGUUGGUGGAACAGCAAGUGUAGAGGUGAAAUUCGUAGAUAUUUGCUAGAACACCAGUGGCGAAGGCGGCCAACUGGACCAUAACUGACGCUGAGGUGCGAAAGCGUGGGGAGCAAACAGGAUUAGAUACCCGCGUAGUCC